AUUGAACGCUGGCGGCGUGCCUAACACAUGCAAGUCGAGCGGUAACAGGUGUAGCAAUACAUGCUGACGAGCGGCGAACGGGUGAGUAAUGCUUCGGAAUCUGCCCAUGUAGUGGGGAAUAACCAGCCGAAAGGUUGGCUAAUACCGCAUACGACCUACGGGUGAAAGCAGGGGAUCGCAAGACCUUGCGCUAUUGGAUGAGCCGAAGUCGGAUUAGCNGUUGGUAGGGUAACGGCCUACCAAGGCGACGAUCCGUAGCUGGUCUGAGAGGACGACCAGCCACACUGGGACUGAGACACGGCCCAGACUCCUACGGGAGGCAGCAGUGGGGAAUAUUGGACAAUGGGGCGAACCCUCGAUCCACGCGACGCCGCGUGUGUGAAGAAGGCCUGCGGGUUGUAAAG
rnacentral:rRNA from 1 species